GAAGCAGCAUAAUAAACCAUUUCAGGGAAGUUUGAAGCACGAUGAAGGAAAACAUGUGCCAUUCGAGUGCUUAAUAGGUUUUGUUUUUGAUCAGUUGACACAGAAUCUUCAGAAGUUCGAUCUUGAUGGAGCAGGAAAUGUUGAUAAGAGCUAUGAUACGUCCCCACAGUCACCAUUGUCCCCUCAGAUUGAUCAUUUCAAGGCUGUGGCAAGCAUUUGGGAAGGUCGAAAAGCAGAAGUAAAUGGGUUUUUCGGAAACUUGAGGUUUGCAAGAGUUGGAGGUGUUCCAUCAGGCAUAGUGGGAGUCAGUUCUUCUGUGAACGAUGGGGAUGAUGGGGUUUCUUCUCAGAGUAGGGAAGAAACUAGUGGCAUUUCGCCACAGAAACUAGCGAGUGGUAUUCUUAGCAUUCCUCUUUCUAAUGUUGAACGCUUGAGAUCCACAUUAUCUACCGUGUCAUUGACCGAGCUUAUUGAGCUUUUACCACAAGUAGGGCGGUCUUCUAAAGAUUAUCCA
rnacentral:misc_RNA from 1 species